rnacentral:lncRNA from 1 species
GAAGGGACCCCAGACCGGCCAGGGUUCCCACCCCUUCCCAGUGUUGACUGCUAUUAGCAUGAUAAUGAACUCUUAAUGGUAUCCAUUAGCAGCGGGGACUUAAAUGACUCCCUUAGAACAAAGUACCUGGCAUUGAAGCCUCCCAGACUUAGCCCCUCCUCUCUGAUGCCCCAGCACUUACCCCAGACAAUGGUUUCAGUGGGUUAGGAUAGUUGGAACCCUCCUGGAUACCCUGGAUGAGUCUUGAGGGUACACUACACUACACCGCAGACUUCAUCCAAGGUCCUGCUUCACCCUCGACUUCAUCUGCAUCAAUUCAUGCCCUCAUACACCCUAGAGGAGGGACAACUGCUACCUUGUGGGACUGCACAGUUUGGGUAUUCUUAAUGACCAGGCAGAUGCCUUAAAUAAACAAGAAAUGUCUUAAUUAUACACCCCAAGUAAAUACGGGUUUCUUACAUUAAAGGAUGUAUUUAUAUAAUUAUUUGUUAGGUUGUAAAAAAAAAGUGUAAAAUAUGUAUAUAUCCAAAGAUAUACAAUGUGUACAUUACUUGUAAAAAGUUUAGAGGCUACCCUGUAAGAACAAAUAUAAGUAUUCUAUUUUGUCAAUAAAAAGACUUUUGAUAAAUGAUUUAAGUACCACCCUGUCCCCCACCUCUCCUGAACUGUUCCCCUUAUGCUUGCUGAGGACAUGUGAGGAAAUGGAAAUUUUCUGGCUUGCCAUUUUGUACUGACAGUAGACCUGUUAACCUCUAAUUCUUAAACUGUUAGCAAAGUAAAUGUCAUUGUUGAAAUGAAAUCAAAAUCGCGUUUUUGCACUUUCCCCAAAAAUGAUGUUUUUCAUGGUCUCUCCUUGCUGACCUAUGGGUUACAGCUCUUCAUGGUGUGUGUGGAUGGACAGUUUGCUAAGGUGGCCAUUCUACUUGGCCUGUUUAUUUGGCUGAUAGAAUGCUAAUGCCACUUAAAUUGCAGCCCUAUGUGAAUGAGUAUCUUCAGUCUGUGAUUUUGAAAGCACUGGCCUUUUACAGAGCUGGCUGCACUCAGAAAUGUGGAGGUUAGUAUUUAAGGCCACAGGUCACCUCUAUACUGUAAGUCACUUGACAAUCUGGUGUAGCAGAGCAGGUGCUGGCUAACAGAUUAAACGAAUGGGUUAACUUCUUAAUAGCAUUCCCUGCUUGUGUAUUCCAAGUGUGCUGCUUUUCCUGGAGAAAAAAGCUAUUGUUCCUCUGUCAAGACGAAGCUAAUUUAUUUGAACAGAAGGCUGUUGAAUCAGCAGAAGAAUGUGCUAGCAAUUGUUGAACUUUUUACCUGUCUGCCCAGUGGCUCUGCACAUCAUUCCUUUAAGAGGAGCUAAAUGAAUAGGGUUAAUCUGUAGGGAACUUGGUCUUUUGAGUUUGGAAAACUUUGAUCUUUUCUCCUCUGUGAAUGUGCUGUAUAGCCUGAAGUUUCUUUCCCUGCUGCCUGGCUCCUCUUGGUGCGGAGCAAUUGGCCACCGUGGAGCCUUAACACUCUUCCAUUAAAGGGAUGUGGGACUUUUACUUUAAAAAGGAGAGGCAGAGAGAGAGAGGAAGACUUGUAACAGUUAGUGAAGACCAGAGGCGCAAGUGCGCUCAGCCUUUUCAACAGCUUUCCAUGGCUUUGUUAGCCAGCCUGCAGGCAGCUAGGCCUGGGCUGUGCAUUAUAGAAAAGGCUCUGAAUGCCCCACAGGUGGUCUCUGCACAUAAUCCCCCAAUUUAAAGCGGUUUCCUUUGCUGGACAAUUGCAUUACAAAACUCCCUUCUUUUACACUCCUAAUUGAAGCAAUGAACUAUUAUAAAUUACAAGUUUUUCUUAAAAAAAAAAAUCCUCACUGCCUAAAUUCUACUGACUAAAUGCUGGCAAAUUUUCUGAACUGGACCUUUUAAACCACUUGUAGGAAAUGCUUCUUCAGCAGAUAUUUUUCAGAUAUCUUUAUCCCUUAGGCUUUUUAAUUUCUGGAAGAUUAGCAAUAAUUUAAAAGUAAUUGGUAAGGUUGUAUGUUCAUACUGAAAAGAUAGCCCCAGGUCCCUUAUUAACCUGUCAAUCAAAAUAAGAAACUGGCAGCUACCCUGCUAAUAACUGGAGUCCAGCAUUGUGGAAGGGGAGGGACCCUGGGUGCCCUUCUUAGAUGUUUGUUUCUCUUUGGUUUUCCUUUAGUGACUAAAUUCUGAAUUAAUAAGAUGAAAGCUACUUGUUUUAUAGAUCUUCAUGAAGAGGCAUGUUUUAAAAUUUUUCUAUUUCCUUUCGAAGUCACUGUGUUAACUAAAAUUCUAAAAUUAGAUAUGUAAUGUGAAUAUAUGCUUUAGUUGUCUUGCCCAUUUUACCUUCAAGAAUUGGGCACCUUGCCCGCAGUUUAUAAUUACUGGUUUGUGACCUAGGCAUAUCAUGCAUUCCCACCUAACCCACACUACAAGUGGGAUGCUGACUGUGUAUAAACUGGCCAUGAACUCUGUGUGUUCAGAAAUAAAGUCAAAGUUAGAGACAGGGCUUUAUCACAUGUGUGGAAAAGAGCUAAAAGUUGCUGGUUUAUGACAUUCUUGGUAGCAAUUUCUAACUAUAACAAUUUUAGGGAGUUGUUAUUUUGAAGCUUUUACCUAUUUAGUAUUCCAUGCAUCCUUGUAAAAUGUCAUAUUUGAUAAUGUUUACAAGAUGGCUGUAAUGGCAUACAACUAAAGAAACUUAUGAAUUAAAAAACAAGCACUGUUUCUACUCUAAAAACUUUCAGUGGAAAAGCUGCCUGCUGCUGUAACCAACAGAGACUCAGUGGUUCAGGACUAGCACUGAACCACAAUGCUCUUAGCUUUAGAAACUAAAAUGUAAGUCAAAAGUUGUCAACACCCAAAUGAGACCCACAGUUGAUUGUAUGGGUAGGAAAACGAAAGAAGAAGCCAUGUGCAUUAAACAAACAACGGCAGGGUGGCUGCGCAGAUACCACUCUAACCUAUGUAGCUGUGUUCUUGACUACUACAUGAAAAAAAUGUUAAGACUCAUCAAAUAUUUGAGGGUAGGCAAUGUGGUUGUUAUAUGUCCAGAGGAUUGAGGUAAAUAUAAUCUAAUGUGAUUAAAACAAACAGGAAACC